rnacentral:rRNA from 1 species
ACACUCCUGCGGGAGGCAGCAGUGGGGAAUAUUGGACAAUGGGCGCAAGCCUGAUCCAGCCAUGCCGCGUGAGUGAUGAAGGCCCUAGGGUUGUAAAGCUCUUUCACCGGUGAAGAUAAUGACGGUAACCGGAGAAGAAGCCUCGGCUAACUUCGUGCCAGCAGUCGCGGUAAUACGAAGGGGGCUAGCGUUGUUCGGAUUUACUGGGCGUAAAGCGCACGUAGGCGGACUAUUAAGUCAGGGGUGAAAUCCCGGGGCUCAACCCCGGAACUGCCUUUGAUACUGGUAGUCUUGAGUUCGAGAGAGGUGAGUGGAAUUCCGAGUGUAGAGGUGAAAUUCGUAGAUAUUCGGAGGAACACCAGUGGCGAAGGCGGCUCACUGGCUCGAUACUGACGCUGAGGUGCGAAAGCGUGGGGAGCAAACAGGAUUAGAUACCCGUGUAGUCC